CAGCAUGCUUCCAAGGGCUAGGGAUCUCCAAUGCAUGCCAAAGGAACUGGAGAGACUUUGACAGCCCAGGUCAGCACAGCACCUGUAGAUGCCACUCAGUUAUCCUAUAUAU
ensembl:snoRNA Gm22341 predicted gene, 22341